rnacentral:tRNA from 2 species
CCUUCGAUAGCUCAGUUGGUAGAGCGGUGGACUGUAGAAGUCGAAAUUGGGCGGAGGAAUCCGCAUUGAAUCGAAGCAGUUAUCCAUAGGUCACUGGUUCAAAUCCGGUUCGAAGGA